rnacentral:rRNA from 1 species
ACUCCAUGAAGUCGGAAUCGCUAGUAAUCGUGGAUCAGAAUGCCACGGUGAAUACGUUCCCGGGCCUUGUACACACCGCCCGUCACACCAUGGGAGAGGGUUGCAAACGAAGUAGGUAGCUUAACCUUCGGGAGGGCGCUUACCCCUUUGUGAUUCAUGACUGGGGUGAAGUCGUACCUAGGUAACCGUCGUGGAACCUGCGGUUCUAUCACCUCCUUC